CAAAAGUUUGGUCCCGGCUUUAUAGUCACCUUUGGCCCAACUUACACAUGCAAGUAUCCGCCCCCCAGUGAAAACGCCCAAGACCCCCCUACUCGGGACCAAAGGAGCCGGUAUCAGGCACAUAAUAUGCCCGCCCACAACACCUGGUUUUAGCCACCCCCUCACGGGUAUUCAGCAGUGAUAAAAAUUAAGAUAUAAGUGAAAACUUGACUUAAUCAGGACCAAAAAGAGCCGGUAAAACUCGUGCCAGCCACCGCGGUUAGACGUAGAGGCUCAAGCUGACUUUUUCCGGCGUAAAGGGUGGUUAAAUAAAAUAAAUACUAAAGCCGAAUGCUUCUUAAAGCUGUCAUACGCCUUUAUAAGCAAGAAGCCCAACAACGAAAGUAGCUUUAUUAUAAUUGAAGCCACGAAAGCCAAGAAACAAACUGGGAUUAGAUACCCCACUAUGCCUAGCCCUAAACAUUGGUGAUGCUAUACCUCAUCAUCCGCCCGGGAAUUACAAGCAUUAGCUCAAAACCCAAAGGACCUGGCGGUGCUUUAAACCCCUCUAGAGGAGCCUGUCCUAUAACCGAUAACCCCCGUUAAACCUCACCCUCUUUUGUUCCAACCGCCUAUAUACCGCCGUCAUCAGCCUACCCUGUGAAGGCCUAAUAGUGGGCAUAACUAGCACGCCCCAAAAUGUCAGGCCGAGGUGUAGCGUAUAAGAGGGGAAGAGAUGGGCUACAUUCUCUGAACCAGAGAACUUACGAAAAGUGUAAUGAAAUAUUACACCUAAAGGAGGAUUUAGCAGUAAAUAAUAAACAGAGUGUUUUAUUGAAAUAGGCCAUAAAGCAUGCACACACCGCCCGUCACUCUCUCUAAAUGCAUUGAACUUUUGAUACCUAACAAACCCUAAAAAUUACAAGGGAGAGAAGUCGUAACAUGGUAAGUGUACCAGAAGGUGCACUUGGUAAAA
rnacentral:ncRNA from 1 species